GUACCUACCUGACGUAGGGAUACCGUAAUCAUGCAGACGGUUCCCCCAGGGUGAGGCAGCUCCAUUGCACUGCGGAAUGGUUGACCCUUGCGAUUAUUAUAUUUUUUAUAAGUUUCACUUUUACCGUGUUUGACUUGCACACAUGCUUUUUUUUG